AAUAUUAGAUAAUCUAGAGGCUUUUUUGGUGGAGUUUCGAUCCAUGUAUGGAGAACAUGAUGCAAUUCGUGUUGCAACCAAUAAGAUUCAUAUUUUACGAUAAGGCAAUUGAUCAGUAAUGUUGUACGCUUCGUGUUGCAACCAAUAAGAUCCAUAUUUUAUAACAAGGCAAUUGAUCAAUAACGUUGUACCCUUCACAAUUUUGACAACUUGUAAUUGAUAUCAAGUGGGAUGAUAUUGCACUUAUUAGCCAAUUUUUCUACAGAUUAUAAUAUGAGGUAAAAAAAUUAAUGCUCAACUUACCUGAUCCUCAAACAUUGAGUCAAGCAAUUGACUUUGCUAUGAAGUGCGACAAUCG
rnacentral:lncRNA from 1 species